AUUGAAUGCUGGCGGCAGGCCUAACACAUGCAAGUCGAGCGAGCGGCGGACGGGUGAGUAAUGUCUGGGAAACUGCCCGAUGGAGGGGGAUAACUACUGGAAACGGUAGCUAAUACCGCAUACCAUCGGAUGUGCCCAGAUGGGAUUAGCUAGUAGGUGGGGUAACGGCUCACCUAGGCGACGAUCCCUAGCUGGUCUGAGAGGAUGACCAGCCAAACUGGAACUGAGACACGGUCCAGACUCCUACGGGAGGCAGAAGUGGUGAAUAUUGCACAAGGGGCGCAAGCCUGAUGCAGCCAUGCCGCGUGUAUGAAGAAGGCCUUCGGGUUGUAAAGUACUUUCAGCGGGGAGGCGUUACCCGCAGAAGAAGCACCGGCUAACUCCGUGCCAGCAGCCGCGGUAAUAC
rnacentral:rRNA from 1 species